AUGCACGACACGGCCUACACCAUGUUCAACCCGGAUCGUUCAGGUUUGUCUAUAUGGCAAGUCUCAAAUCAGUUUCUUUUUCAGGUCCAUAAAAUGGAAUCAAUUUUUUUCACACACUGGCAUCACCAUAGAAGGCAUGCAUGCCAAGUUUCAGUGCUUUCUGACAUUCUAUGCAUUUUCUAUGGUUUCCUCGUGAAAAAGGCAGGCAUGAACGCCUACUAUGGUCAUGUUCACUUGCAUACUGUGUCGGAAUUCAUUCAAACCAUGCAUGGAUGGCAUUAUGGUCAUAUCCACUUGCUUGCAAAGUUGGGUUCAUUUGAAGAUGUCCAAAAUCAGACCAUGUACAACAAAGGGUGUUCGGGUAGGGCCAGAAGGGACCGUUUGUAA
rnacentral:rRNA from 1 species